UAUUUGUCUCCUUCUUUUCCAGUUUCUGUGCCUGAAGAACAUCCGAACAUUCCUGAAAGUGUGCCAUGAUAAGUUUGGCCUGAGGAACAGCGAGCUGUUUGACCCCUUCGAUCUCUUUGACGUGAGGGACUUUGGGAAGGUGAUCUCUGCGCUGUCCAGAAUCUCCCACAACAGCAUUGCACAGAUCAAAGGCAUCAGGCCCUUUCCAUCAGAGGACACAGCGCUGAAUGAAGAUGAUGUGUACCGGAGCUUGGAGGAGCUGGCAGAGUAAGUGUUUUAAAUCAUAGAAACAGAAUAUAAUGGUAAUGAAUAAAU